rnacentral:rRNA from 1 species
GAUGAACGCUAGCUACAGGCUUAACACAUGCAAGUCGAGGGGCGGCAUGAACAUAGCUUGCUAUGUUUGAUGGCGACCGGCGCACGGGUGCGUAACACGUAUCCAAUCUGCCCGUUACUCGGGGAUAGCCUUCUGAAAGGAAGAUUAAUACCCGAUGGCAUUGCUUAGCGGCAUCGCCUAUGGAUUAAAGAUUUAUUGGUAACGGAUGGGGAUGCGUACGAUUAGCUAGUUGGCGGGGUAACGGCCCACCAAGGCGACGAUCGUUAGGGGUUCUGAGAGGAAGGUCCCCCACACUGGAACUGAGACACAGUCCAGACUCCUACGGGAGGCAGCAGUGAGGAAUAUUGGUCAAUGGGCGCGAGCCUGAACCAGCCAAGUAGCGUGAAGGGUGACUGCCCUACGGGUUGUAAACUUCUUUUGUUUGGGAAUAAAUGAUACUACGUGUAGUAUUUUGCAUGUACCUUACGAAUAAGCAUCGGCUAAUUCCGUGCCAGCCGCCGCGGUAACAC